UAAGCCCUUGAACGGUGAAUCUGCGAAUGGCUCAUUAAAUCAGUUAUUGUUUAUUUGAUGGUACCUUACUACUUGGAUAACCGUAGUAAUUCUAGAGCUAAUACAUGCGUCAAGCCCUGACUUCGGAAAGGGUGCAUUUAUUAGAUUCAAACCAUCGGCUCGUCUGGGCAACUGGGCGCGGCCUUUGAUGGUGAGUCAUAAUAACUUAGCGAAUCGAAUGGCCUUGAGCCGUCGAUGCUUCAUUCAAAUUUCUGCCCUAUCAGCUUUCGAUGGUAGGAUCUUGGCCUACCAUGGCUAUAACGGGUAACGGGGAAUUAGGGUUCGAUUCCGGAGAGGGAGCUUGAGAAACGGCUACCACAUCCAAGGAUGGCAGCAGGCGCGCAAAUUACCCAAUCCCGACACGGGGAGGUAGUGACAAUAAAUAACGAUGCUGGAUUAUUAUUAAUCCGGCAAUUGGAAUGAGAGUGAAUUAAAUCUCCACUCGAGGAACCAUUGGAGGGCAAGUCUGGUGCCAGCAGCCGCGGUAAUUCCAGCUCCAAUAGCGUAUAUUAAAGUUGUUGCAGUUAAAAAGCUCGUAGUCUGAAUCUUGGUCUGGUGUUGAGUAUCCGUGGCUCCCUCACGGGAGUUGCGUGCAUGCGAUAUACACUGGCCAGCUUUUGUACUUCGGAGGAGCGCAGGUGCUUUUCAUUAAGUGCUUGUUG
rnacentral:rRNA from 1 species